ACAUUCGGGUAAUCGCUGUCAUUUUUUACGAUGGCAGAGGAAAGUCCAUGCUCGCACGGUGCUGAGAUGCCCGUAGUGAUCACGCCUGGCGAAACGAUAAGCCAGGGCAGCCGAUAUUUCGGCUGACGGCAGGGAAAGCAUCUAAGUCUAUUGCAGAUAUGACGCGAAUACCUUUAAAGUGCCACAGUGACGAAGCCUUGCCGGAAACGGUGAGGGUGGAACGAGGUAAACCCCGUGAGCGAGAAACUCAAAUAAUGGUAGAGGCACUCUUUCCGAGGAAUAAAGGAACGAGGAAAGAGGCGGGUGGUUGUGCCCGCAGAUAGAUGAUUACCGCCGGAGUACGAGAUCAGCCUACGGUCGCUUGCAGUACAAUGGCACAGAACAUGGCUUACAGAA
rnacentral:RNase_P_RNA from 3 species